rnacentral:lncRNA from 1 species
CAAACCCAGUGCUUCUGGACUCCAGUGCCACACUCUUAACCACUGAGCUUAACGUCAAUAAAGGACAGGCCUGGCAUGUGCAAUAUGCUCAUUUGAAUUGAGUCUUCUGUCACCUGCAGCUGAAAGAGUUCUGAUAAGAGAGUUGACAAAGAGACAAGACUUAGACACCUUUAAACGCUUCUGGGUGUGAAAUGCAGUCACUACACUUUCCCAAGAAAAAGUGCACAUUUGAAAAAGCAAUUAGAGUAAAUCAACAGGGCAAAAUGCUACUUGGAGAAAAUACAGUAAAAGAAGAAUUGGAAUGGGAUGAGAUUAAUGAAGGAAAGCUUCCUGUAGAAGUAUAGCACCCAUGCAGCAAGAAUGUUUAUUGUGUGCCACAAAGUGGGACAGAAGAGAGAGAGAGAGCCGACGGGAAUGAAGAACAGCACAAGAGCAACCAGUAUGGAGCAUCAACUGAGGAUCACAGGGUUUGAUGGUUGCCUGGGUGGAAGUCAGUAUGGACGGAUGAUGACUGAGGACCAAAUACCCGCUCUCACACCCCAAACUCAGCCUUAUCUGUGAUCUCCUCGGGUGCCAGCUCCAAGUACAAAGACAGCAGCAGCAGUUCUGGACCCCUUGUUGAUGCCCAACAACAUCCAGGAGAAAAGGGACCAUCUUUCCCUGUACUUUCUUCUAAGAAAAAGAAACAUCUUCCAGAGCAUUUGGCAAAUUUCUCCCACACUGAGCCACAUGCUCGUUCCAAACCAAUCCCCAUCACUGGAAGAAUACAGGUUUGACUCAGACUAAUCAGGGCUCAUCUUUGACUGAGGUCAACUCUCCCAAUUGCCUGGCUACCACAAAAUGAGGGAUAGAAUGGACAUUGCAGAACAACCACAAUUACAGUCCUCCCCUUUACUGCCCAAUAUUCACACACACCCUCUGUGCUAUGUUACAAUCUCCGAAAAGCCAGUGCCUAAUAAGAUGCACACAUGCCCUCUUAAGGAAGUACCACCCAAACUUCACCCAAUCAUGUAUCCAGUGGCAAACCCAGGAUCUCUGGGAGGCGUACAAUCCAUCAAGUCAAUUACAUGCACCUGGAUUGAAAAGAAAUCAGGCAGGAAAUGAGGUGGUUGUUUCUUGUUCAUGCAUGAGCCUGGAACACUGAGUCUCAGUGCUCUCGUGUAUUAAAUGAGAAUAGUAAUGUCUGCUACGCAGGUUGUGAUGCUGAUUGAAAAUAAAAUAAAAAAUGACAAAAAUAAACCAAUAUGAGCUGUGCAUAUUCAAACCUCACCUGCUGAUCAUAGUAAAUGCAUUGCAUUUGCAGCUGAUAUGCCGAGAUCCUGGAGCUCAAAGUGAUACCCCUUUGAUUAGCACAAAGACCUGCUAUUUUCCCCUGGGGUAACCUCCUCCCCCUAGUUCCUCCUAGGAGUUUGAGUAUGUUCCACACAUAGUUAGAUCUGUCAUGCUGGCUGCAGUCCCACUGUUCUCCU